rnacentral:rRNA from 1 species
CCUACGGGGGGCAGCAGUGGGGAAUAUUGGGCAAUGGGCGCAAGCCUGACCCAGCAACGCCGCGUGAAGGAAGAAGGCUUUCGGGUUGUAAACUUCUUUUCUCAGGGACGAAGCAAGUGACGGUACCUGAGGAAUAAGCCACGGCUAACUACGUGCCAGCAGCCGCGGUAAUACGUAGGUGGCAAGCGUUAUCCGGAUUUACUGGGUGUAAAGGGCGUGUAGGCGGGGACGCAAGUCAGAUGUGAAAUCUGGGGGCUUAACCCCCAAACUGCUUUUGGAACUGCGUGUCUUGAGUGAUGGAGAGGCAGGCGGAAUUCCCAGUGUAGCGGUGAAAUGCGUAGAUAUUGGGAGGAACACCAGUGGCGAAGGCGGCCUGCUGGACAUUAACUGACGCUGAGGCGCGAAAGCGUGGGGAGCAAACAGGAUUAGAUACCCCUGUAGUC